CCUGUCUGCCAUGCCAUCAGCAGCUGUCCUCCAUCAAGCCCCUUUACCAGGCUGUCCUGCAUUGGAAUCGGCUGACUACAGACUGAAACCUCUACUAACUCCUCUUCAGCUUCUCCCGGAAAGGCCGCUGUCAUCAGGUGGCAUGGAGCUGGCUCCUCUGUCUGAUAGAUCAGCCCGUCAUUCUCUCUGAUGAGAAACAGUCACUCCCCUGGACUUGGCCCAAGGUCUUCAGAACCUCAACAUGUUGCCUUCCCAGGCUGGGAGAGCUGCCAUGAGGUAAACAGAUCUUCUCCACCACACGCUCCUGCCAUGAUAUACUAUGGUAUGGUAUAUCACAGACCCCAAGCAACAGGACCAAUUGGUUCUGGACUGAACCCUCCAAAACAAUGAAUAAGCCUCCUCUGCCACCUACUACCCACCAUCAUGUGCUGCCUCAACACAGGCCCAAGAACAAUGGGGUCAGCAGACCAUGGAAUGA